rnacentral:rRNA from 1 species
UACGUAGGGUGCAAUCGUUAUUCGGAAUUACUGGGCGUAAAGCGUGCGCAGGCGGCUUUGCAAGACAGAUGUGAAAUCCCCGGGCUUAACCUGGGAACUGCAUUUGUGACUGCAUGGCUGGAGUGCGGCAGAGGGGGAUGGAAUUCCACGUGUAGCAGUGAAAUGCGUAGAGAUGUGGAGGAACACCGAUGGCGAAGGCAGCCCCCUGGGCCAAUACUGACGCUCAUGCACGAAAGCGUGGGGAGCAAACAGG